UUAUAAUCUUUCCUUUGCAAUAAAUUGUUCUCAAUCCAUUUGAGACAAAUCACAGUGAUUGAGAAAUUAUAUGGAAUUUAACACAUUUCUCUAUUGAUUUUAGAUGCUCCCAAGAUCACCUCAGUAUCAGUGAGCCCCUCUGGUGAAAUAGUGGAGGGAAGUUCAGUGACUCUGACCUGCAGCAGUGAUGCCAACCCACCAGUGCAGAACUACACCUGGUUUAAGCAGAAUGAGACUGGAGUCUGGCUGGCAGGAUCUGGACAGAGUUUGAACUUUUCUAACUUUAGAUCCUGGAACAGAGGACAGUACUACUGUGAGGCACAGAACAGACUUGGAGAUCAGAGUGCUUCUGCUCUACUGGUCUUAAUACAAGUCUUGCAGACGGGAUCAGAACGGAUUGUGAGCUUUUCCAACUUUACGUCCUGGAGCUUUGGACAGUACUACUGUGUGGCACUGAACACACAUGGAGAUCAGACAUCUGCUGGCAUGUCAAUCAAUAGACACACAGGAGAUAUGACAGCGCUUGUAUGGACGGUUGUUGGAAUCACAGCAGCUUUUGCACUCUUUACUAUCAUGGUGUGCACAAGGUAAAUGUUUGUAAUGCAAAAGCAUCUGGGAAUCAAUCAUCACUGAGAAGACAUGAUUAUAGAAAUUCACCAUUAGAUAUCAGAGAGAUAUGCAGUAUUUUUACUAAUUUGCUGUUGAAUUCAGAGGAGCAGGUAGGAAUUUUAUGACAGAAUGUCGUCUGGGAAGGCUCUCUCACAUUGAAUGGGAAGAUUAUAAUGCAGAUUAAUGCAGAUUGUAAUCUCCAAACUCAGGUCACUUUUAAAAGCAAGGUCCAACAUCUUUUAAAACAGUGUUUUAGCUUUACAUUUUACAUUGCCUUGUUGUAUUGACCCCAUUUUUACUUUCUGUCGGGUUAGCUGUUUGAAAUAAUGCAUCUUUGUGUUUGUUUUCUUUACAUACAUUGUUUUAUUAUGUCUAUCAAUAUAUUAUGAUUUAUUUGAGCAUUGUAUAGCACUGUGAACCUUGAACCUCUUUAUAUAGCCAUCAUGUUUUGCCUGCAAACCCCCCCCCUCCCCCCCCCCC